GACGAACGCUGGCGGCGUGCUUAACACAUGCAAGUCGAACGGAAAGGCCCCUUUGGGGGUACUCGAGUGGCGAACGGGUGAGUAACACGUGAGUAACCUGCCCUUGACUUCGGGAUAACUUCAGGAAACUGGGGCUAAUACCGGAUAGGAAUCCUUGCUGCAUGGUGGGGGUUGGAAAGCUUCGGCGGUUUUGGAUGGACUCGCGGCUUAUCAGCUUGUUGGUGGGGUAGUGGCUUACCAAGGCUUUGACGGGUAGCCGGCCUGAGAGGGCGACCGGCCACAUUGGGACUGAGAGACGGCCCAGACUCCUACGGGAGGCAGCUGUGGGGAAUAUUGCACAAUGGGCGGAAGCCUGAUGCAGCAACGCCGCGUGCGGGAUGACGGCCUUCGGGUUGUAAACCGCUUUCAGCAGGGGCGAAGCUUGUGGUGACGGUACCUGCAGAAGAAGCACCGGCUAACUACGUG
rnacentral:rRNA from 1 species